GACGAACGCUGGCGGCGUGCUUAACACAUGCAAGUCGAACGGAAAGGCCCUGCUUUUGUGGGGUGCUCGAGUGGCGAACGGGUGAGUAACACGGGAGUAACCUGCCCUUGACUUUGGGAUAUCUUCAGGCAACUGGGGCUAAUACCGGAUAGGAGCGCCUGCUGCCUGGUGGGGGUUGGAAAGUUUCGGCGGUUGGGGGUGGACUCGGGGCUAAUCAGCUUGUUGGGGGGGGAGUGGCUUACGCAGGCUUUGACGGGUAGCCGGCCUGAGAGGGUGGCCGGGGACAUGGGGACUGAGGUACGGCCCAGAGUCGUACGGGGGGCAGCAGUGGGGAAUCUGGUACAAUGGUCGGAAGCCUGUUGAAACAAUGCUGCGUGUGUAAUGACGUCUUUCUUGUGGGAAACCGCUGUCGCCUGAGACUAAGCGGUAGUGACGUUAAUGGGUAAAGAAGCACCGGCUAACUACGUG
rnacentral:rRNA from 1 species